GGGGUGCCUAAUACAUGCAAGUAGAACGCUGAAGAGACGUGCUUGCUCUUCUUGGAUGAGUUGCGAACGGGUGAGUGACGCGUAGGUAACCUGCCUUGUAGCGGGGGAUAACUAUUGGAAACGAUAGCUAAUACCGCAUAACAAUGGAUGACACAUGUCAUUUAUUUGAAAGGGGCAAUUGCUCCACUACAAGAUGGACCUGCGUUGUAUUAGCUAGUAGGUGAGGUAACGGCUCACCUAGGCGACGAUACAUAGCCGACCUGAGAGGGUGAUCGGCCACACUGGGACUGAGACACGGCCCAGACUCCUACGGGAGGCAGCAGUAGGGAAUCUUCGGCAAUGGGGGCAACCCUGACCGAGCAACGCCGCGUGAGUGAAGAAGGUUUUCGGAUCGUAAAGCUCUGUUGUAAGUCAAGAACGAGUGUGAGAGUGGAAAGUUCACACUGUGACGGUAGCUUACCAGAAAGGGACGGCUAACUACGUGCCAGCAGCCGCGGUAAUACGUAGGUCCCGAGCGUUGUCCGGAUUUAUUGGGCGUAAAGCGAGCGCAGGCGGUUUGAUAAGUCUGAAGUUAAAGGCUGUGGCUCAACCAUAGUUCGCUUUGGAAACUGUCAAACUUGAGUGCAGAAGGGGAGAGUGGAAUUCCAUGUGUAGCGGUGAAAUGCGUAGAUAUAUGGAGGAACACCGGUGGCGAAAGCGGCUCUCUGGUCUGUAACUGACGCUGAGGCUCGAAAGCGUGGGGAGCGAACAGGAUUAGAUACCCUGGUAGUCCACGCCGUAAACGAUGUCGAUUUGGAGGUUGUGCCCUUGAGGCGUGGC
rnacentral:rRNA from 1 species